UUUGAUCAUGGCUCAGGAUGAACGCUGGCGGCGUGGAUAAGUGCAUGCAAGUCGAACGCACCUUCGGGUGAGUGGCGAACGAGUUAGUAACAUCUUGGUACCUACCCCUUACUCAGGCAUAACUCCGGGAAACCGGAGCUAAUUCCUGAUAGUCUCGCAAGAGUAAAGAUUUUUCGGUAAGGGAGGGGCCUAGAUCCUAUCAGCUUGUUGGUGAGGUAACGGCUCACCAAGGCUAUGACGGGUAGGGGGCGUGAGAGCGCGAUCCCCAACGAGGGAACUGAGAACGGUCCUUACAUCUACGGAUGGCCGCAGUCGAGAAUAUUGCGCAAUGGACGAAAGUCUGACGCAGCGACGCCGCGUGCAGGAAGACGGCCUUCGGGUUGUAAACUGCUUUUAUGUGGGAAGAACUUUGACGGUACCACAUGAAUAAGAGGUUGCUAACUCUGUGCCAGCAGCAGCGGUAAUACAGAGACCUCAAGCGUUAUCCGGAUUUAUUGGGCGUAAAGGGCAUGUAGUCGGUUUGUAUAGUCUGAUGUUAAAUCUCACGGCCCAACCGUGAGGCCGCAUCGGAAACGUACAGACUGGAGCAAGUCAGAGGUAAGCAGAACGUGCAGUGUAGGGGUGAAAUCCGUUGAUAUUGCACGGAAUACCAAAAGCGAAGGCAGCUUACUGGGGCUUUGCUGACGAUGAGAUGCGAAAGCGUGGGGAUCAAAAAGGAUUAGAUACCCUUGUAGUCCACGCCCUAAACGAUCCAGACUGGCUAUCGGGAGCAUCGACCCUUCCGGUGGCGAAGCUAACGCGUUAAGUCUGGCGCCUGGGAAUUACGAUCGCAAGAUUAAAACUCAAAGGAAUUGACGGGAAUC
rnacentral:rRNA from 1 species